rnacentral:lncRNA from 1 species
CCCAGUGCUACAAGGACUACGACACACACGACACGUACUCCUCACUGCUCACUAAAGCACGACGCGUUUGUAACCGUGAUGCUUCAAACUCAACAGCGCGUACAGCAUGAAUGCCAUCUCUGAACACCACAGCUGCCUUCUUUCCUUACCAAACGAACCAAAAGGAACCUACAGGCACACGGAGCAGAGGGGCAGCAGCAUCUCCUCUCCUCUCCUACGUUACCGCCUCUCUCGCGACGACAACAAUUUGUUCACAUUCACGGUAGUUAAUUCUCCGCUUGGGGGGUGGGGAGGAAACAGAGAAAGAAGAAAGAAGAAAAAAAGCAAAGGCAAAAAAAAAAAAAAAAAAAAAAAAAAAAAAACAAAAAGAGACCAAAAGAGAGCAGCAGAAGUGUCUGUGCACACCAACUCUGCAGAAGGGCUGCACACACCGCCUGCACACAGAGCUGCAGUGGUGGAUCUCCAGCAGUGCUCUCCCGGAGCGCAGCACCGCAGUGCGCAUCCCAUGGGCUGAGCGGGGCCCAGAGCCAUUCCCAAGCACUGAAGGGCACCUGAACUGCCAUGAAACGUAUAACAUUCAAAAAGAUUUAAGAAAGGAUGAAAAUUUAGUUUCCUGUCUCGCUCGGAAACGAACUUCUGCUGCAUGGCAGAAAGAGUACUUCUUUGGAUGCUGAAUGUCAGUGCCUUCAGCACUACCUCCAGACAAAGCACGGCUGGCACGGGUUACCAUUCAGCAUAUCCGUGACCCCUACAAAAAAUAUAAUUACAUGUAUCAUGAUAAAGCAAUCUGUCAUCUAAAAAUCAUCCUUAUUAUACACUAUACAAGCUAUUUUACAGUCAUUAAUAAAUUGCUUUUAAAGCUGCAGUAGCCCUUCCCUUCUUUUCUCAGAUCAGCGAAUAUACCGAUUAUACAUAUUGGAAACUAUAACUAAAUACAAAAAUAUAUUAGGUUUUGUAUCUUCCCAGAUGAUUUUUCUCAUCGUUAUUACACAAAUAAUCGGGCCACUUUCAGUACAAAUAAAUUUUAGAGUGGCUUGGUAAAUAUUUCAAUUUCGAGAUAAAGAAAAUCGUUAAGGUGCAGGUAGAAAAGGCUACUACAGCUUCUAAACGUUUUAAAAUACAGCUACCCAUGGCAACGAGGAGAAAUUCACGAGACCUAUGGCAGAUUUAUGGCACGCUAGUCACUCGAUAGGAAGGGAUGCAGCCGUAC